ACGCUGGCGGCAGGCCUAACACAUGCAAGUCGAACGGUAACAGGAAGUGCUUGCAACUUGCUGACGAGUGGCGGACGGGUGAGUAAUGCUUGGGAACUUCCCUUUGCGAGGGGGAUAACAGUUGGAAACGACUGCUAAUACCGCAUAANNUCUACGGACCAAACGGGGCUUAGGCUCCGGCGCAAAGAGAGGCCCAAGUGAGAUUAGCUAGUUGGUAAGGUAAAGGCUUACCAAGGCAACGAUCUCUAGCUGUUCUGAGAGGAAGAUCAGCCACACUGGAACUGAGACACGGUCCAGACUCCUACGGGAGGCAGCAGUGGGGAAUAUUGCACAAUGGGGGAAACCCUGAUGCAGCCAUGCCGCGUGUGUGAAGAAGGCCUUCGGGUUGUAAAGCACUUUCAGUUGUGAGGAAAAGUUAGUAGUUAAUACCUGCUAGCCGUGACGUUAACAACAGAAGAAGCACCGGCUAACUCCGUGCC
rnacentral:rRNA from 1 species